rnacentral:rRNA from 1 species
UGGGGAAUAUUGGACAAUGGGCGCAAGCCUGAUCCAGCAAUGCCGCGUGGGUGAAGAAGGUCUUCGGAUUGUAAAGCCCUUUCGACAGGGACGAUGAUGACGGUACCUGUAGAAGAAGCCCCGGCUAACUUCGUGCCAGCAGCCGCGGUAAUACGAAGGGGGCUAGCGUUGCUCGGAAUUACUGGGCGUAAAGGGCGCGUAGGCGGCGCAUUUAGUCAGGCGUGAAAUUCCUGGGCUUAACCUGGGGACUGCGCUUGAGACGGGUGUGCUAGAGGGUGGAAGAGGCUCGCGGAAUUCCCAGUGUAGAGGUGAAAUUCGUAGAUAUUGGGAAGAACACCGGUGGCGAAGGCGGCGAGCUGGUCCAUUACUGACGCUGAGGCGCGACAGCGUGGGGAGCAAACAGGAUUAGAUACCCUGGUAGUCCACGCCGUAAACGAUGUGCGCUGGAUGUUGGGUGCCCUAGGCACGCAGUGUCGUAGCUAACGCGGUAAGCGCACCGCCUGGGGGA